GACGGAGGAUGCAAGCGUUAUCCGGAAUGAUUGGGCGUAAAGCGUCCGCAGGUGGCAGUUCAAGUCUGCUGUCAAAGACCGGGGCUUAACUUCGGAAAGGCAGUGGAAACUGGACAGCUAGAGUAUGGUAGGGGCAGAGGGAAUUCCUGGUGUAGCGGUGAAAUGCGUAGAGAUCAGGAAGAACACCGGUGGCGAAAGCGCUCUGCUAGGCCGCAACUGACACUGAGGGACGAAAGCUAGGGGAGCGAAUGGG
rnacentral:rRNA from 1 species